UACGAAGGGGGCUAGCGUUGCUCGGAAUCACUGGGCGUAAAGCGCACGUAGGCGGAUUGCUAAGUCAGGGUGAAAUCCUGGAGCUCAACUCCAGAACUGCCCUUGAUACUGGCGGUCUCGAGUCCGGGAGAGGUGAGUGGAACUGCGAGUGUAGAGGUGAAAUUCGUAGAUAUUCGCAAGAACACCAGUGGCGAAGGCGGCUCACUGGCCCGAUACUGACGCUGAGGCACGAAAGCGUGGG
rnacentral:rRNA from 1 species